rnacentral:rRNA from 1 species
AUUGAACGCUGGCGGAAUGCUUUACACAUGCAAGUCGAACGGCAGCACGGGGGCAACCCUGGUGGCGAGUGGCGAACGGGUGAGUAAUACAUCGGAACGUGCCCGGUCGUGGGGGAUAACGUAGCGACAGGUACGCUAAUACCGCAUACGAUCUGAGGAUGAAAGCGGGGGACCUUCGGGCCUCGCGCGAUCGGAGCGGCCGAUGUCAGAUUAGGUAGUUGGUGGGGUAAAGGCCUACCAAGCCGACGAUCUGUAGCUGGUCUGAGAGGACGACCAGCCACACUGGGACUGAGACACGGCCCAGACUCCUACGGGAGGCAGCAGUGGGGAAUUUUGGACAAUGGGCGCAAGCCUGAUGCAGCCAUUCCGCGUGCAGGACGAAGGCCUUCGGGUUGUAAACUGCUUUUGUAUGGAACGAAAAGGCUCUGGCUAAUACCUGGGGCUCAUGACGGUACCGUAAGAAUAAGCACCGGCUAACUACGUG